rnacentral:rRNA from 1 species
UGGGGAAUUUUGGACAAUGGGCGCUAGCCUGAUCCAGCCAUGCCGCGUGAGUGAUGAAGGCCCUAGGGUUGUAAAGCUCUUUCACCGGUGAAGAUAAUGACGGUAACCGGAGAAGAAGCCCCGGCUAACUUCGUGCCAGCAGCCGCGGUAAUACGAAGGGGGCUAGCGUUGUUCGGAUUUACUGGGCGUAAAGCGCACGUAGGCGGACUUUUAAGUCAGGGGUGAAAUCCCGGGGCUCAACCCCGGAACUGCCUUUGAUACUGGAAGUCUUGAGUAUGGUAGAGGUGAGUGGAAUUCCGAGUGUAGAGGUGAAAUUCGUAGAUAUUCGGAGGAAAACCAGUGGCGAAGGCGGCUCACUGGACCAUUACUGACGCUGAGGUGCGAAAGCGUGGGGAGCAAACAGG